UUGGAUAGCGGUUCCAUUUUUAUCAAAGCCAGUUCUAAGCCUCUCUACUUCGAAAGAAAUUGAGAUCAAACUUUACUACAUACAUUUUUAUUCUUUCAUUAUUUUUUAAUCAGUGCAUAUAACAUAGCACAUAAUAUGAAUAGUUCUGGUCAAGCAACAUUCUUUGUUUUUUAUUUUUUUUCCUUUAAGAUUUUAAAUUUCAUUAGCUUUGCUCCUCAACUACUAUUA
rnacentral:lncRNA from 1 species